GAUGCACGCUAGCGGCAGGCCUAAUACAUGCAAGUCGAACGGUGUCUUCGGACAUAGUGGCGCACGGGUGCGUAACACGUAUGCAACCUACCUUACAUUGGGGGAUAGCCCUUCGAAAGGGAGAUUAAUACCGCAUAAGACAGUAGCUGGGCAUCCAGCAGCUGUUAAAGAUUUAUCGAUGUAAGCUGGGCAUGCGUCCAAUGAGCUAGUUGGUGAGGUAACGGCUUACGAAGGCAAUGAUUGGUAGGGGAACUGAGAGGUCAAUCCCCCACACAGUCACAGAGAUACGGGCCAGACUCCUGCGGAAGGCAGCAGUAGGGAAUAUUGGGCAAUGGACGCAAGUCUGACCCAGGCAUGCCGCGUGCAGGAUGAAGGCGUUAUGCGUUGUAAACUGCUUUUAUACAGGAAGAAACGACUCUUGCGAGAGGCAUUAACGGUACUGUAUGAAUGAGCACCGGCUAACUCCGUGCCAGCAGCCGCGGUAAGAC
rnacentral:rRNA from 1 species